rnacentral:tRNA from 1 species
UUUUUAGGGAGACCUACACCCCUCAAAACUCGAAAGCAAAAUGCCAAUAGAGAUUGAGUUGGUCUAACCUAGGUCGGUCGCAACAUUGCUGAGCUUUCAAACUAUAGAUUGGUUCGGAUAAUGGGCUAUUAGCUCAGGUGGUUAGAGCGCACCCCUGAUAAGGGUGAGGUCCCUGGUUCGAGUCCAGGAUGGCCCACCUGGAAGUAAUUAGUAAUCACUAAUUAGUAAUUCGUAACUAACUACGAAUUAAAAAUUAUGAAUUACGGAUUAUUUGGAUGGGGGUUUAGCUCAGUUGGUAGAGCGCCUGCUUUGCAAGCAGGAUGUCAGCGGUUCGAGUCCGCUAAUCUCCACCUGUAAAUUUAGAUGAGAAAUCAGCAACAUGACAUAUUAUUGAUGUCAGACUGCUGGGUAUAGUCUCAGCCAGAACCUUGAAAACUGCAUAGUAACGCGAAAUUAGCAGGCAGACGCAGACAUUCAGUUGAAUGAUUGUGUUUGCAAAGGUGAAACACCAAAUGUUAAGU